AUAUUUUCUUAUUCUUCUUUCUCCGUUCUCUCUUUCCUCUAGCUCGAUGCUCUCCGCCAGUCUCUGGCUUCUCUCGUUCUCUCUCUAAAAUACCCACCCUCUAAAACUCCUUCUCUCCUCUCCUCCUCUGAGCCAGUUUCUCUAUCUAGAACUCACUCGCCACUGCCUUCUCUCUGAUGGUUCAAUCGGCCGGCGACGACUUCUACGAUUUCGGCGACGGCCAGCCUCGAGGUUGGUCUUAACCAACUCCUUAUAACUCAGAGGCGGCGAGCUCAAUUCCGGCCAGGUUGUGUCAAAUUGGGUGGUAAUAGGCUACUCGAGGCUUGAACCAGAGGAGGAGAGGAUUAGUUGUUUUCAUGGAAGGAAAAGAGCAGCAGCAGCGGAGGAGGAGUAUGCAGAGGCAAACGUGGAGGAGUGGUUGGGGUCAUCGAUGAGAAAUAUACUUUGUUGAUUAAAGCGCUCUUUAUGCAUUGCUGUCACAAGUUUCAACGAAAUAAUUUAUGACAAGUUCUCCUUCCGUCUGAGGUUUGUUACAGACCUGAUUUCGUAUGCUCGGAGUAAUGAACUGAGGAUCUUUAUUAAUCUCAGCAUGCUUACAUAUAUUGGUACCAUGCAUGUAUAUAUGAUUAUAAGAAUAUAAACUUUGUUUAUAUGGUGUUCUAGACAAACACAGCAGUACUGCGCCUACGUUUGCGAGACCUUUUUAAUUUGAUUGAUUUCAGACGUUAGACUUUGUCCAUAUUGAAAUUAUCUUUU
rnacentral:sRNA from 1 species